CCCAGCUGUAGGCAACGGCUUAGGUUGCAUUGUACCUAGGCAAGUAUUACACUGCUGGGAAAAAAGCAGCUAAUAGCUGGUGGGCAUU
ensembl:snoRNA SNORA74 Small nucleolar RNA SNORA74